rnacentral:rRNA from 1 species
UGGGGAAUCUUGCACAAUGGGGGCAACCCUGAUGCAGCGACGCCGCGUGAGCGAUGAAGCCCUUCGGGGCGUAAAGCUCUUUCGACCGGAACGAUAAUGACGGUACCGGGAGAAGAAGCUGCGGCUAACUACGUGCCAGCAGCCGCGGUAAUACGUAGGCAGCAAGCGUUGUUCGGAGUUACUGGGCGUAAAGAGUGCGUAGGCGGUUUUCUAAGUUCGGUGUGAAAUCUCCCGGCUUAACUGGGAGGGUGCGCCGAAGACUGGGGAGCUGGAGUGGGGGAAAGGCAGGCGGAAUUCCUGGUGUCGCGGUGAAAUGCGUAGAUAUCAGGAGGAACACCGGCGGUGUAGACGGCUUGCUAGACCAUAACUGACGC